AUUGAACGCUGGCGGCAGGCCUAACCCAUGCAAGUCGAACAAGUGGCGGACGGGUGAGUAAUGUCUGGGAACCUGCCUGAUGGAGGGGGAUAACUCCUGGAAACGGUAGCUAAUACCGCAUACCAUCAGAUGUGCCCAGAUGGGAUUAGCUUGUUGGUGGGGUAACGGCUAACCAAGGCGACGAUCCCUAGCUGGUCUGAGAGGAUGACCAGACACCCUGGAACGGAGACACGGCACAGACGCCGACGGGAGGCAGCAGUGGGGAAUAUUGCACAAUGGGCGCAAGCCUGAUGCAGCCAGGCCGCGUGUAUGAAGAAGGCCUGCGGGUUGGAAAGUACUUGCAGCGGGGAGGCGGUACCCGCAGAAGAAGCACCGGCUAACUCCGUGCCAGCAGCCGCGGUAAUUC
rnacentral:rRNA from 1 species